AACGAACGCUGGCGGCAUGCCUAACACAUGCAAGUCGAACGAGACCUUCGGGUCUAGUGGCGCACGGGUGCGUAACGCGUGGGAACCUGCCCUUAGGUUCGGAAUAACUCCCCGAAAGGGGUGCUAAUACCGGAUAAUGUCUUCGGACCAAAGAUUUAUCGCCUUUGGAUGGGCCCGCGUUGGAUUAGCUAGUUGGUAGGGUAAAAGCCUACCAAGGCGACGAUCCAUAGCUGGUCUGAGAGGAUGAUCAGCCACACUGGGACUGAGACACGGCCCAGACUCCUACGGGAGGCAGCAGUGGGGAAUAUUGGGCAAUGGGCGAAAGCCUGAUCCAGCAAUGCCGCGUGAGUGAUGAAGGCCUUAGGGUUGUAAAGCUCUUUUACCCGGGAUGAUAAUGGCAGUACCGGGAGAAUAAGCUCCGGCUAACUCCGUG
rnacentral:rRNA from 1 species